UUCUGCUUUGCAGCUAUAAUAGACAUAUAUCACUUUGUUAAUCUUCAAAUGGGGAAAUUAAAAUGCCAUGGACUCAUACCACUCAUCACA